rnacentral:rRNA from 1 species
AAACUCCCACGCCGAAAGACCAAGGUUUCCUGCGCAACGUUAAUCGACGCAGGGUUAGUCGGUCCCUAAGGCGAGGCUGAAAAGCGUAGUCGAUGGAAAACAGGUUAAUAUUCCUGUACUUCUGGUUAUUGCGAUGGAGGGACGGAGAAGGCUAGGCCAGCUUGGCGUUGGUUGUCCAAGUUUAAGGUGGUAGGCUUAAAUCUUAGGUAAAUCCGGGAUUUUUUAAGGCCGAGAGCUGAUGACGAGUUAUCUUUUAGAUGACGAAGUGGUCGAUGCCAUGCUUCCAGGAAAAGCUUCUAAGCUUCAGGUAACUAGGAACCGUACCCCAAACCGACACAGGUGGUUGGGUAGAGAAUACCAAGGCGCUUGAGAGAACUCGGGUGAAGGAACUAGGCAAAAUGGCACCGUAACUUCGGGAGAAGGUGCGCCGGUGAGGGUGAAGUAUUUACUACGUAAGCCCAUGCCGGUCGAAGAUACCAGGCCGCUGCGACUGUUUAUUAAAAACACAGCACUCUGCAAACACGAAAGUGGACGUAUAGGGUGUGACGCCUGCCCGGUGCUGGAAGAUUAAAUGAUGGGGUGCAAGCUCUUGAUCGAAGUCCCGGUAAACGGCGGCCGUAACUAUAACGGUCCUAAGGUAGCGAAAUUCCUUGUCGGGUAAGUUCCGACCUGCACGAAUGGCGUAACGAUGGCCACACUGUCUCCACCCGAGACUCAGUGAAAUUGAAAUCGCUGUGAAGAUGCAGUGUAUCCGCGGCUAGACGGAAAGACCCCGUGAACCUUUACUAUAGCUUUGCACUGGACUUUGAAUUUGCUUGUGUAGGAUAGGUGGGAGGCUUUGAAGCGUGGACGCCAGUUCGCGUGGAGCCAACCUUGAAAUACCACCCUGGCAACUUUGAGGUUCUAACUCAGGUCCGUUAUCCGGAUCGAGGACAGUGUAUGGUGGGUAGUUUGACUGGGGCGGUCUCCUCCUAAAGAGUAACGGAGGAGUACGAAGGUGCGCUCAGACCGGUCGGAAAUCGGUCGUAGAGUAUAAAGGCAAAAGCGCGCUUGACUGCGAGACAGACACGUCGAGCAGGUACGAAAGUAGGUCUUAGUGAUCCGGUGGUUCUGUAUGGAAGGGCCAUCGCUCAACGGAUAAAAGGUACUCCGGGGAUAACAGGCUGAUACCGCCCAAGAGUUCAUAUCGACGGCGGUGUUUGGCACCUCGAUGUCGGCUCAUCACAUCCUGGGGCUGAAGCCGGUCCCAAGGGUAUGGCUGUUCGCCAUUUAAAGUGGUACGCGAGCUGGGUUUAGAACGUCGUGAGACAGUUCGGUCCCUAUCUGCCGUGGACGUUUGAGAUUUGAGAGGGGCUGCUCCUAGUACGAGAGGACCGGAGUGGACGAACCUCUGGUGUUCCGGUUGUCACGCCAGUGGCAUUGCCGGGUAGCUAUGUUCGGGAAAGAUAACCGCUGAAAGCAUCUAAGCGGGAAACUUGCCUCGAGAUGAGAUCUCACUGGAACCUUGAGUUCCCUAAAGGGCCGUCGAAGACUACGACGUUGAUAGGUUGGGUGUGUAAGCGCUGUGAGGCGUUGAGCUAACCAAUACUAAUUGCCCGUGAGGCUUGACC